rnacentral:RNase_P_RNA from 1 species
UGAGCCGGCCGGGCGGCCGCGUCGGGCGGGGUAACCCGUUCGCCGAGGAAGGUCCGGACUCCAUCGAGCAGGGUGGUGGGCAACACCCACCCGGGGUGACCCGCGGGACAGUGCCACAGAGACAGACCGCCAGCGGCCCGGUCGUCACUGCGUACGACGUACGUGGCGACGACGGGUGCGGGUAAGGGUGAAACGGUGGUGUAAGAGACCACCAGCGCCGUAGGUGACUGCGGCGGCUGGGUAAACCCCACCCGGAGCAAGGCCAGGAGGGUGCGGCAUCGCCGUGCCUGCGCGGACGUUCGAGGGCUGCUCGCCCGAGUCCGCGGGUAGGCCGCAACAGGGCACCGGCAACGGUGCUCGGGAGAUGGAUGGCCGCCGGGGCGCGA